UACGGGGGGAGCAAGCGUUGUUCGGAUUUACUGGGCGUAAAGGGCGCGUAGGCGGUCAGCACAAGUCAGUUGUGAAAUCUCCGGGCUUAACUCGGAAAGGUCAACUGAUACUGUGCGACUAGAGUGCAGAAGGGGCAACUGGAAUUCUCGGUGUAGCGGUGAAAUGCGCAGAUAUCGGGAGGAACACCUAUGGCGAAGGCAGCUCGCUGGGACGUUACUGACGCUGAGGCGCGAAAGCGUGGGGAGCGAACAGG
rnacentral:rRNA from 1 species